UUUCUGUUUCUAGAAUUGAUGUUCUUCUUCUCUUUGAUCUCCCGUUGGAUUUGUAGGAUGAAGAGGGUUGCUGCAGGGAAUGGCCAGCAAUCCCUGUACAGACUGAUGAAAGUUUACUCCAAACUUUGCUGUGAAAGAGAGAAGGAUAACUUAGCCUACUUCAUACUGAAAUUAGUAUUAGUCAUACGGUGUCAAGAGAGAAGGUCUGACUACAUGGCAUUGACUUAAGGACAGGGCAGUGGAGAAAUUGUUAUUGGAGGCUUGAAGGACAAGCUCAGAACAAGCCUUCCCAUGCUCCUGUGGCAUAUAGUAACCUCCAUGGACCCUGAAACACAUAGCCCCAGCAAGGUCACUGCAUGGGCCUGCACAAGAUGGAGGGCCAAGAUGGAGCCAGCGCUGUCAGCACUUGGACGAGGAGAAAGCUGCUGUUUUCCAGAACUGAUUCACAGGAGACCUGCUCCUUUGGGGUUUUACUUUCAUCUGAAAGACUUGACCCCUCUUUGAAGAAGAGAACUCGCUACGUUGACCCCUUUUUGAAGAAGAAAACCCACCAUGUGCCUAUAGGAAUUUCUUGGAAGCUUUGGCUUUUUCCUUCCUAGGUUUAUAUUCUACUAAAAUUGCAUCCUCCCCCUCAGCUCUCAGAUGGGGUCACCUUCAGCCCAACCUUCAGCCUUUCUAAAGAAAGGCAUUACUCGAGACAGUAAGAAGUCUCUCACUUAAGAAUUCUCAAGGUCAUCCUGAUUUUUCUUGAUUUUAAAACACUUGUAAGUACUUUGUAGCCACAUAGCAAAUUUUACCAACUUCCAAUUUUAUAAUCAAAGAAUUCUCACCGCCGUAAGCCCUAUCUUCAUCCCUCAGGCAAAGACAAAUAUGAGCACCUUUUUCCUGCGAUGACAUUCGGAGUCAGUCAGUGUUCUUAGCAGCAAGCAACAGAAGAUGGCUUUUGCUGAUUCAAGAACUGAAAAAAAAAAAAUUAGGACAGUCGUUCACAGAAUCUCUGGGAGAACUGAAGAAAUGAACUUGGAGGUUAGGACUUUGUCAGGAAGAAUGCCUAGUCACUUUGCUGGACUGGUCCAGCUGCUGGUCAGGAUAGAUUGCCCUGGAUGGCAUUGAAAAUUGGAUGCUUCUGUGGACAUUGCUUCCUCCCCUCCUGCCGGUAAUGCAGACUUACUGCAACCAGCACCCUUACCUGAGUAGACUGGCCUUUGUCUUGCUUCACUGUGUGUGUGCAUGUGUAAGAAUGAGGGUGUGUAAUAGAGAGGAGAGAAGAUUUUAACAAUACAGAUAUCAUGCAAUUCCUUAAAAGCUCAAUAAUUUUCCUUCUUUUUGAAAAAUAAUUUUCUUAAAUAUAUCCUAUGCUGUACCUUUAGCCCUCUGUGAUGGCUAAUGGUAUGUGUCCCCUUGGCUGGGAUAUGGUGCCCACUUGUUUGUUCAAACACUAGGUGUGGCUGUGCAGGUAUUUUUAAUAUAUGACUAACAUUUAAAUCAGUAAACUUUGAAUAAAGCAGAUACUUUCCAUCAUGUGGGUGUUCCUCAAUCAGUAGUUGAAAGGCUUAAGAGCAAACACUGAGAUUUCAUGAAGAAGGAAUUCUGCCUGCAGACUGCAAUGUUAGAAACCCUGCCUGAAUUUCUAGCCUGCAGAUUUCAUACUCAAAUUGGCAACAUCAACUCUUCCUUGAGUUUCCAGGCUGCCAGGCUGCUUAAGGAAUUUCAGACUUGCCAGCCUCCACAACUGCAUGAACCCAUUCCUUAAAAUCUCUCUCUCUUUCAUUCUAUCUAUCUAUUGGUCCUGCUACUUGGGGAAACCAUAAUAUAUACCCACUUAGCAUGAUAUGAAGCAUUACAGGUUGUUCACUCUUUUCCUAACUUUUUGCUUUGAUAACAUUUUGAAACACAAAAAUAUGCAAAAUAUACACAAUGAAUUAUAUAGUUUUACCUAGAUUUACUAACUUGUAGUGUAUGUAUAUGUUUAUAUAUACUAAGAGUUUUUUUCUGAACUACUUGAGAAUGAGUGGCAGACUCGAAAAUACUUCAGCUUGUACCUCUUUCAGCCCUAAAUAUUUCUUCCUGCCUCUCCGAGGAAUACUUAUUAGUCACCAUGUAUGCAGAUCAAAUUCAGGAAAUGAAACAUUAAUAUAAAGCAAGUAUCUAAUAUACUUUAUAAUUUAUAAUAAUACCUAAUAAUUUCACCACUGUCUCAAGAUUGUUUACAGCAGUUUUUCAAAAAUCUAAGAUUCAAUCCAGAAUCACAAAGUAUAUUCAGUUGUCAUAACCUUUUAGUUUCUUUGUCAUAUUCUUGUAGUUUCUUUAAUCUGAAAUAAGGCUUAGGCAUU